rnacentral:rRNA from 1 species
AUUGAACGCUGGCGGCAGGCCUAACACAUGCAAGUCGGGCGCGCGGCGGACGGGUGAGCAAUGUAUGGGGCUCUGCCUGAUGGAGGGGUCUAUCUUCUGGACACUAUAGCUACCCACAUAAACCCUCAGAUGCACCAAUAGGGGUUGAGCUUGUAGGUAAGGUAACGGCUAACCUAGGCGACUACCCCUAGCUGGUCUGGGAGGAUGAUCAGCAACACUGGGACUGAGACACGGCCCAGACUCCUACGGGAGGCAGCAGUGGGGAAUAUUGCACAAUGGGCGCAAGCCUGAUGCAGCCAUGCCGCGUGUAUGAAGAAGGCCAUAGGGUUGUAAAGUACUUUCAGUCGGGAGGCGUUACCGACAGAAGAAGCACCUGCUAACGCCGUGCCAGCAGCAGCGGUAAUAC